AUUGAACGCUGGCGGCAUGCCUUACACAUGCAAGUCGAACGGUAACAGGUCUUCGGAUGCUGACGAGUGGCGAACGGGUGAGUAAUACAUCGGAACGUGCCCGAUCGUGGGGGAUAACGAGGCGAAAGCUUUGCUAAUACCUCAUACGAUCUACGGAUGAAAGCGGGGGAUCUUCGGACCUCGCGCGGACGGAGCGGCCGAUGGCAGAUUAGGUAGUUGGUGGGAUAAAAGCUUACCAAGCCGACGAUCUGUAGCUGUUCUGAGAGGAUGAUCAGCCACACUGGGACUGAGACACGGCCCAGACUCCUACGGGAGGCAGCAGUGGGGAAUUUUGGACAAUGGGCGAAAGCCUGAUCCAGCCAUGCCGCGUGCAGGAUGAAGGCCUUUGGGUUGUAAACUGCUUUUGUACGGAACGAAAAGCCUCUUUCUAAUAAAGAGGGGUCAUGACGGUACCGUAAGAAUAAGCACCGGCUAACUACGUG
rnacentral:rRNA from 1 species